UAACACUAACUGGAGGACCGAACCGACUAAUGUUGAAAAAUUAGCGGAUGACCUGUGGCUGGGGGUGAAAGGCCAAUCAAACCGGGAGAUAGCUGGUUCUCCCCGAAAGCUAUUUAGGUAGCGCCUCGUGAAUUCAUCUCCGGGGGUAGAGCACUGUUUCGGCUAGGGGGCCAUCCCGGCUUACCAACCCGAUGCAAACUGCGAAUACCGGAGAAUGUUAUCACGGGAGACACACGGCGGGUGCUAACGUCCGUCGUGAAGAGGGAAACAACCCAGACCGCCAGCUAAGGUCCCAAAGUCAUGGUUAAGUGGGAAACGAUGUGGGAAGGCCCAGACAGCCAGGAUGUUGGCUUAGAAGCAGCCAUCAUUUAAAGAAAGCGUAAUAGCUCACUGGUCGAGUCGGCCUGCGCGGAAGAUGUAACGGGGCUAAACCAUGCACCGAAGCUGCGGCAGCGAACGUAUCACCCAAGACAACUUUACGGAGUUGACGAUUGACGGAGCGAAGCGACGUCAAAGCGUUCAUUAAAGUCGAGUUGGCUUAGGGAUACGUUCGUUGGGUAGGGGAGCGUUCUGUAAGCCUGUGAAGGUGUGUCGUGAGGCAUGCUGGAGGUAUCAGAAGUGCGAAUGCUGACAUAAGUAACGAUAAAGCGGGUGAAAAGCCCGCUCGCCGGAAGACCAAGGGUUCCUGUCCAACGUUAAUCGGGGCAGGGUGAGUCGACCCCUAAGGCGAGGCCGAAAGGCGUAGUCGAUGGGAAACGGGUUAAUAUUCCCGUACUUGGUGUUACUGCGAAGGGGGGACGGAGAAGGCUAUGUUGGCCGGGCGACGGUUGUCCCGGUUUAAGCGUGUAGGUGUGUGUUCCAGGUAAAUCCGGUU
rnacentral:rRNA from 2 species